rnacentral:rRNA from 1 species
UACGUAGGGGGCUAGCGUUGUCCGGAAUCAUUGGGCGUAAAGCGCGUGUAGGCGGCCCGGUAAGUCCGUUGUGAAAGUCGGGGGCUCAACCCUCGAAAGCCGGUGGAUACUGUCGGGCUCGAGUACGGUAGAGGCGAGUGGAAUUCCUGGUGUAGCGGUGAAAUGCGCAGAUAUCAGGAGGAACGCCAAUUGCGAAGGCAGCUCGCUGGGGCGGUACUGACGCUGAGACGCGAAAGCGUGGGGAGCGAACAGG